rnacentral:rRNA from 1 species
GACGAACGCUGGCGGCGUGCUUAACACAUGCAAGUCGAACGGAAAGGCCCUGCUUGCAGGGUACUCGAGUGGCGAACGGGUGAGUAACACGUGGGUGAUCUGCCCUGCACUUCGGGAUAAGCCUGGGAAACUGGGUCUAAUACCGGAUAGGAGCCAUUUUUAGUGUGAUGGUUGGAAAGUUUUUUCGGUGUAGGAUGAGCUCGCGGCCUAUCAGCUUGUUGGUGGGGUAAUGGCCUACCAAGGCGGCGACGGGUAGCCGGCCUGAGAGGGUGGACGGCCACAUUGGGACUGAGAUACGGCCCAGACUCCUACGGGAGGCAGCAGUGGGGAAUAUUGCACAAUGGGCGCAAGCCUGAUGCAGCGACGCCGCGUGGGGGAUGACGGCCUUCGGGUUGUAGACUCCUUUCGCUAGGGACGAAGCUUUUUGUGACGGUACCUAGAGAAGAAGCACCGGCUAACUACGUG